rnacentral:rRNA from 1 species
AAGGGUGCGUAACACGUGGGGAAUCUGCCGAGAAGUGGGGGAUAGCUCGCCGAAAGGCGAAUUAAUACCGCAUGCGGUUAAUGAAGACAUCUUCAUGACACCAAAGCCGGGGCAACCUGGCGCUUCUUGAUGACCCCGCGGCCUAUCAGCUAGUUGGUGAGGUAACGGCUCACCAAGGCUAUGACGGGUAGCUGGUCUGAGAGGACGACCAGCCACACUGGAACUGAGACACGGUCCAGACACCUACGGGUGGCAGCAGUCGAGAAUUUUUCUCAAUGGGGGAAACCCUGAAGGAGCGACGCCGCGUGGAGGAUGAAGGUCUUCGGAUUGUAAACUCCUGUCAUUUGGGAACAAUUGCUACACGUUAACUGCGUGGAGCUUGAUAGUACCAGAAGAGGAAGAGACGGCUAACUCUGUGCCAGCAGCCGCGGUAAUACAGAGGUCUCAAGCGUUGUUCGGAUUCAUUGGGCGUAAAGGGUGCGUAGGUGGCGGGGUAAGUCAGGUGUGAAAUCUCGGAGCUCAACUCCGAAACUGCACUUGAUACUGCCUUGCUCGAGUACUGGAGAGGAGAUUGGAAUU